rnacentral:rRNA from 1 species
UACGUAGGGGGCAAGCGUUGUCCGGAAUCAUUGGGCGGAAAGAGCGCGUAGGCGGCCCUGUAAGUCCGCUGUGAAAGUCAAGGGCUCAACCCUUGGAUGCCGGUGGAUACUGCAGGGCUAGAGUCCGGAAGAGGCGAGUGGAAUUCCUGGUGUAGCGGUGAAAUGCGCAGAUAUCAGGAGGAACACCGAUGGCGAAGGCGGUUCUCUGGGCCUUACCUGACGCUGAGGAGCGAAAGCGUGGGGAGCGAACAGG